rnacentral:rRNA from 1 species
GACGAACGCUGGCGGCGUGCUUAACACAUGCAAGUCGAACGGGCCUUGUCCCCUUUUUUUUUGGGGGUGGGGUUAGUGGCGAACGGGUGAGUAACACGUGAGUAACCUGCCCCUCACUUCUGGAUAACCGCUUGAAAGGGUGGCUAAUACGGGGUGUUCUGGCCUGCUCGCAUGGGUGGGUUUGGAAAGAUUCGACCGGUUUGGUUGUUUUGGUGGGGGAUGGGCUCGCGGCCUAUCAGCUUGUUGGUGGGGGGAUGGCCUGCCAAGGCUUUGACGGGUAGCCGGCCUGAGAGGGUGGGCGGUCACACUGGGACUGAGACACGGCCCAGACUCCUACGGGAGGCAGCAGUGGGGAAUAUUGCACGAUGGGCGCAAGCCUGAUGCAGCGACGCCGCGUGAGGGAUGGAGGCCUUCGGGUUGUGAACCUCUUUCGCCAGUGAAGAAGGUCCUGCUCUUUGUGGUGGGGUUGACGGUAGCUGGGUUAAUGAAGCGCCGGCUAACUACGUG